ensembl:snRNA U2 U2 spliceosomal RNA
AUCGCUUCUCUGCCUUUUGGCUAAGAUCAGUGUGGUAUCUGUUCUUAGCAGUUUUUUUUUUUUUUUUUUAAAUUCUGACUCCUGGAUCUCACCAGAGAUGCUGACUCUGCAAGCCCAGAGCAGAGUCCAAGUAUACAUUUU